rnacentral:rRNA from 1 species
GGAGGGAACGAGGGGAAGUGAAACAUCUCAGUACCCUCAGGAAGAGAAAACAACCGUGAUUCCGGGAGUAGUGGCGAGCGAAACUGGAUGAGGCCAAACCGUAUGCGUGUGAUACCCGGCAGGGGUUGCGCAUGCGGGGUUGUGGGAGUUCUCUUGAUCAAUCUGCCGGUUGGUCGACGAGUCAGAAACCGUUGGUGUAGGCGAAGGACAUGCGAAAGGUCCGGCGUAGAGGGUAAGACCCCCGUAGCUGAAACAUCAACGGCUCGUUUGAGAACCACCCAAGUAGCACGGGGCCCGAGAAAUCCCGUGUGAAUCUGGCGGGACCACCCGCUAAGCCUAAAUAUUCCCUGGUGACCGAUAGCGGAUAGUACCGUGAGGGAAUGGUGAAAAGUACCGCGGGAGCGGAGUGAAAUAGUACCUGAAACCGUGUGCCUACAAGCCGUGGGAGCGUCGCUGUAUGUGCUUGCACAUGCAGUCGUGACUGCGUGCCUUUUGAAGAAUGAGCCUGCGAGUUAGCGGUGUGUAGCGAGGUUAACCCGUGUGGGGAAGCCGUAGCGAAAGCGAGUCCGAACAGGGCGUUUGAGUUGCACGCUCUAGACCCGAAGCGGAGUGAUCUAGCCAUGGGCAGGUUGAAGCGGAGGUAAGACUUCGUGGAGGACCGAACCCACCAGGGUUGAAAACCUGGGGGAUGACCUGUGGUUAGGGGUGAAAGGCCAAUCAAACUCCGUGAUAGCUGGUUCUCCCCGAAAUGCAUUUAGGUGCAGCGUCGUGUGUUUCUUGCCGGAGGUAGAGCACUGGAUAGGCGAUGGGCCCUACCGGGUUACUGACCUUAGCCAAACUCCGAAUGCCGGUAAGUGAGAGCGCGGCAGUGAGACUGUGGGGGAUAAGCUCCAUGGUCGAGAGGGAAACAGCCCAGAGCAUCGACUAAGGCCCCUAAGCGUACGCUAAGUGGGAAAGGAUGUGGAG